UACAGAGGGGGCAAGCGUUGUUCGGAAUUACUGGGCGUAAAGGGCGCGUAGGCGGCCUUCUAAGUCGAACGUGAAAUCCCCCGGGCUCAACCCGGGAACUGCGUCCGAUACUGGAAGGCUUGAAUCCGGGAGAGGGAUGUGGAAUUCCAGGUGUAGCGGUGAAAUGCGUAGAUAUCUGGAGGAACACCGGUGGCGAAGGCGACAUCCUGGACCGGUAUUGACGCUGAGGCGCGAAAGCCAGGGGAGCAAACGGG
rnacentral:rRNA from 1 species